CAGAAACUCGAAAGGAAGUUGACGGGGCCCGCACAAGCGGUGGAGUAUGUGGUUUAAUUCGAUGCAACGCGAAGAACCUUACCUGGUCUUGACAUCCCGGAGACCCUUAGGAAACUAGGGGGUGCUUCCAUCUGGAAGAAUCUGGAGACAGGUGCUGCAUGGCUGUCGUCAGCUCGUGUCGUGAGAUGUUGGGUUAAGUCCCGCAACGAGCGCAACCCUUGCCUUUAGUUGCCAGCAGUUCGGCUGGGCACUCUAAAGGGACUGCCGGUGUUAAACCGGAGGAAGGUGGGGAUGACGUCAAGUCCUCAUGGCCUUUAUGACCAGGGCUACACACGUACUACAAUGGCCGAUACAAAGGGCAGCGACACUGCGAGGUGAAGCCAAUCCCGUAAAAUCGGUCUCAGUCCGGAUUGGAGUCUGCAACUCGACUCCAUGAAGUUGGAAUCGCUAGUAAUCGUGGAUCAGCAUGCCACGGUGAAUACGUUCCCGGGCCUU
rnacentral:rRNA from 1 species